rnacentral:rRNA from 1 species
UACGUAGGGUGCAAGCGUUGUCCGGAAUUAUUGGGCGUAAAGAGCUCGUAGGCGGUCUGUUGCGUCGGCUGUGAAAACCCGGGGCUCAACCCCGGGCCUGCAGCCGAUACGGGCAGACUAGAGUUCGGCAGGGGAGACUGGAAUUCCUGGUGUAGCGGUGAAAUGCGCAGAUAUCAGGAGGAGCACCGGUGGCGAAGGCGGGUCUCUGGGCCGAUACUGACGCUGAGGAGCGAAAGCGUGGGGAGCGAACAGG